GUGCUCACUUCAGCAGCACAUGUUCUAAAAUCGAAACGACACAGAGAAGAUUAGCAUGGCCCCUCCACAAGGAUGACACACAGAUUCAUGAAGCGUUCCAUAUUUUU